UCACCCGGAUGCUCUUGGGUACAGCGU
rnacentral:sRNA from 1 species